rnacentral:rRNA from 1 species
UACGUAGGGGGCAAGCGUUGUCCGGAAUCAUUGGGCGUAAAGCGCGUGUAGGCGGCUAGAUAAGUCUGCUGUGAAAGUCCAGGGCUCAACCCUGGGAUGCCGGUGGAUACUGUCGAGCUCGAGUCCGGAAGAGGCGAGUGGAAUUCCUGGUGUAGCGGUGAAAUGCGCAGAUAUCAGGAGGAACACCAAUGGCGAAGGCAGCUCGCUGGGACGUGACUGACGCUGAGACGCGAAAGCGUGGGGAGCAAACAGG